rnacentral:misc_RNA from 1 species
UCUCCGUUGGUGAACCAGCGGAGGGAUCAUUAUCGAGUUUAUAACUCCCAAACCCUAUGUGAACUUACCACUUGUUGCUUCGGCGCGCGCUUCGGCGCCGCCGAGGACACUUAAACUCUUUGUUUUUAUAAGCAUUUCUGAGUGGCCGAAAGGCAAAAUACAAAUGAAUCAAAACUUUCAACAACGGAUCUCUUGGCUCUC